rnacentral:rRNA from 1 species
CUGGUGGCGAGUGGCGAACGGGUGAGAAAUGCAUCGGAACGUGCCCAGUAGUGGGGGAUAGCUCGGCGAAAGCCGAAUUAAUACCGCAUACGUACUGAGGUAGAAAGCGGGGGACCGUAAGGCCUCGCGCUACUGGAGCGGCCGAUGUCGGAUUAGCUUGUUGGUGGGGUAAAAGCCUACCAAGGCGACGAUCCGUAACUGGUCUGAGAGGACGACCAGUCACACUGGGACUGAGACACGGCCCAGACUCCUGCGGGAGGCAGCAGUGGGGAAUUUUGGACAAUGGGCGCAAGCCUGAUCCAGCAAUGCCGCGUGUGUGAAGAAGGCCUUCGGGUUGUAAAGCACUUUUGUCCGGGAAGAAAUCUGUCUGGCUAAUACCUGGACGGGAUGACGGUACCGGAAGAAUAAGCACCGGCUAACUACGUGCCAGCAGCCGCGGUAAUACGUAGGGUGCGAGCGUUAAUCGGAAUUACUGGGCGUAAAGCGUGCGCAGGCGGCUCUGUAAGACAGAUGUGAAAUCCCCGGGCUCAACCUGGGAACUGCAUUUGUGACUGCAAGGCUAGAGUGCGUCAGAGGGAGGUGGAAUUUCCGCGUGUAGCAGUGAAAUGCGUAGAUAUGCGGAGGAACAUCGAUGGCGAAGGCAGCCUCCUGGGAUGACACUGACGCUCAUGCACGAAAAGCGUGGGGAGCAAACAGGAUUAGAUACCCUG